rnacentral:rRNA from 1 species
AAGUCGAGCAGGGGCGAAAGCCGGCCAAAGUGAUCCUAUGGUCCCGAGUGGAAGGGCCAUGGCUUAACGGAUAGAAGCUACCCCGGGGAUAACAGGCUGAUCUUCCCCAAGAGUCCAUAUCGACGGGAUGGUUUGGCACCUCGAUGUCGGCUCGUCGCAUCCUGGGGCUGUAGGAGGUCCCAAGGGUUUGGCUGUUCGCCAAUUAAAGCGGCACGUGAGCUGGGUUUAGACCGUCGUGAGACAGGUCGGUCCCUAUCUGGUGUGGGUGUAGGAUGACUGAGGAGGUAUUCCCCUAGUACGAGAGGAUUGGGGAGUACGGCCCUCUGGUGCUCCAGUUAUCACGCUAGUGGUACAGCUGGGUAGCUAAGGUCGGAACGGAUAAGCGCUGAAUGCAUCUAAGCGCGAAGCCUUCUCCAAGACGAGUCAUCCCAUGAGUCCCCUGAGAGACCAUCAGGUUGAUAGGCCGGCGGUGCAAGUACGGCAACGUACUCAGCUUACCGGUACUAAUCGGACGAUCGGCUUAACCACCUUUUUC